rnacentral:rRNA from 1 species
AUACGGAGGGUGCAAGCGUUAAUCGGAAUUACUGGGCGUAAAGCGCGCGUAGGCGGUUUAGUAAGUCGGAUGUGAAAGCCCUGGGCUCAACCUGGGAAUUGCAUUCGAUACUGCUUGACUAGAGUAUGGUAGAGGGAAGUGGAAUUUCCGGUGUAGCGGUGAAAUGCGUAGAUAUCGGAAGGAACACCAGUGGCGAAGGCGACUUCCUGGGCCAAUACUGACGCUGAGGUGCGAAAGCGUGGGGAGCAAACAGGAUUAGAUACCCCAGUAGUCC